AAAAUAUUGUGAUUUUGGGGAACUUUUUGUUAACAAGUAAACACACAUAUAAAUAUUCACUUUUUUUUAGUGUUAAAAACUACUUUGGACCAUCUUCUUGCUUAGAUCUUUUGCAACACUAUGUUCCAAUUUUCCUAUUUUCCUCCUUUUUAUAGUCGCUUCAUUUUGCCACCAUUUUUCCUAAAAUUUCCAAUAUUUAUUAUGGACCUUGUUGAUGGCGAUAGGGUAGCUACGAAAUGGCUACUCAGCCAUGGUUGUAUAAAUCCGUAGCCAAAUAACGAUUGAACGAUCCCUAUUCUUUUAUAAUGGCAACGCCAUCCAUUUCCUUCUUGUCAUUUUCUUUUUCAUUUCGCCUGAUGCGCAACAGCAUCUAACUUUAAAAUUUUAUUUUUCUGAAUCGGGUCUCUGAGCUAUUUCUCUUUUCAAAGAAAUAGCUACUGGGGUAAGCCAUGUAGCCUACACGCCCCCUGAUGGCCCACCCGACGCAACAGAUUCAGGCAUUGUGUUCCAGAAUUGAUGGUAGGGAAUACACCUUCAAUUCUAUUGUGGUUACUGUCAAUGCCCAAUCGAUAAACAUUUUUGUUAUCACUUCACAGUGAAUAGGGGUCUUAUCAUUAUGCCAGCCAUACACGAUACAUUCUACAUCAGAAACGCCUCAGGAUGAACACAAUGGACCUAUAGGUCUCCGAGUGGAGCGGUU
rnacentral:sRNA from 1 species